UAAAAACUGGUGACAAAGGACUGCAAUAUGGAAGAAAAUAAUUAUUUUCCAGCCAGGAGAUUCUAUUUCAAUAUCAGCUAUAAGAAAAAUAAUUUGUAUUUAAAUUUUGUUUAUAAAGUGUUUCUAUCAUACCUGUGAGCUGUUUUUAUUUAUUUAUUUAUUUAUUUAUUUAUUUAUUUAUUUAUUUAUUUUCAGACGGAGUCUCGCUCUGUUGUCCAGGCUGGAGUGCAGUGGUGCAAUCUCGGCUCACUGCAACCGCCUCCUCACGGGUUCAAGAGAUUCUCCUGCCUCAGCCUCCUGAAUAGCUGGGACUAUAGGUGCCUGCCACCACACCUGGAUUGCCUGGCAAAUUUUUUUUUUUUUUUGUAUAUUUAGUAGAGAUGGGGUUUCAUCAUGUUGGCCAGGCUGGUCUUGAACUUGUGUCCUCAGGUGAUCCACCCACCUCGGCCUCCCAAAGUGCUGAGAUUACAGGCAUGAGCCACUGUGCCUGGCCAACUGUUUUUAAAUUUUAAAAGUUUAAGAUUCAAGGCCUAAUCUUCUGCUUAUGAUAUGUCAUCAGUGGACAUUUCAUGUAUAUAACCAUGUAAUAAUGGAACACAGCAGUGAACGGAUGCAUAGCAGUCUGAACUCUUCCCUGUGUAUUAGCGCUGAGUCACUGCUGGGAUCUGGCAGGGCUCCUCAAAAUCCCUGAGCCUCACUAGGAUCUCCGGCCUGCCUCUUGGUCUUCAAGUACACAGACCAGAAAGUCACUGUUCCUGAGAGGUGAAUAGGGCCAAAUGAUGCAACCCUGAAAAAGCUUUCCUCUAACUUACUUUCCCAAGGCAGAGAGAAUUUCUCUAGAAAUCAGGUCAGCCAUGUUAUUUAGGCAUUUUUAUUGCAUCUUUUCCCCAAGGCCCUGGGACUCUGUGUUGGUAUAUACACAAAGGAUUACACUAUUUUUGUUUAGUAAGAUGGCUUGCUGAUUUCAGUUUACAAGGUGAGAACAUGGAUAUGUAAGUCUGAGUCAUUUGGAAAAACAAAAGACAAUCACUUUUAGAAUAAAGAGAAAUACCUAUUUAGAAUUUUCUCUGUAAAAACAUCACAUUGAUCACAUCUUUCCAUCUUCUGAAAGGCAUUUUAAACCAAAUCUACAGAUUAGAAAAUUUUGAUAGAUAACUUAUCAGAACUAUAUUUUGUGUUGAAACUGACCAAAAUGCUUAAUACAUUUACUUUUAGUCUUUUAAAUAUUCUGACUUGUGUUAAAUAUGUCAGGAAACAAAGAAGUAAGGCAACACUCUCUUGACUUGUGAAGUGUCCAAGCUCUGGGCUGGACGUAGUAGUUCCUCACUAAGCAUUUGUUGAAUCGGUGAAUAAUAUAUCCCCAAACAAGGCCUAAAAAAGGAGCAUAAUGAAAAUAAAGCUGCCACAAUUGGGCCCCUUGAUUUCGUAAAGCACCCAGGCAUCAUCUUGCAUCAAGUACUUUUGCAGACACAAUCUCAAAAUGUCUCAUUCUAAGAAAUGGGCAAAUGAUACUCUCUUUGAUUGAUGGAGAAAAAGAAUCUGAGCCCAAGAUGGCAUAGCAAACUCAGAAUUCUAAUUGCAACUUGCAAGAUCAGAACACCCAAAAAAAAGCCCCUGCACACAGCCAUGCUGCUGCCUCUGCUGACCUAUACAUUGGUUAUAAGUCAACUGAGGGACAAAGUUCAAAAGAGACCACAAAAGUACCAGAAGCUAUGACAAAACACCGAAAUCAAUUGAAGUUAAACCCAGAUCUUCAAAUCAGUAUGUCACAAAGAUGCUCCUUCUAGAUGUUAUUUACAGUUAAUGAGGUCAAAUGAAUUUUUGUAGUCAAUAAAUAAAAUAGUUAAAAUAUUUAUUUUUAUAUUUACCUCAUCUUUUUAAAUUCCUAUUAUUGUGAAUGUUUUAUAAUACAUACAAUUAGCUAUAUGUUUGUGGGAUAUACAAUUUAUAAAUAACUAAAUAUACAUAUAUAAGAAUGGACACUCAUACUGAAAAGAAAUCACUGAGCUAGAAAACUAUUUCAAAGCAGACAUCUAUAAUAAUCCAAGAUGCCUGCCUAGCCCAGAGUUGGCACUCAAUAAAUAUGUGUUGAUGGCUAACACAUUUAUGAAAAACAUGUUCAACAUCACUAAUCAUUAGAGAAAUGCAAAUUAAAACCGCAAUGAGAUAUCAUUUCACACCUGUCAGAAUGGCUAUUAUCAAAAAGACAAAAGAUAGCAAGUGUUGGCAAGGAUGUAGAGAAAAGGAAACCCUUGUACACUGUUGGUGGGAAUGUAAAUUAGUACAGCCAUUAUGGAAAACUGUACGGAUGUUCCUUGAAAAGCUUAAACUAGAAUUACCAUAUGAUCCAGCAAUCUCACUUCUGGGUACUUACCCAAAAGAUUUUAAAUCAGUGUGUCAAAAACACAUCUGCACUCCAAUGUUCAUCACAGCACUAUUCACAAUAAUCAAGUUAUGAAAUCAACCUAAGUGCCCCUCAAGCAAUGAAUGGAUAGAGAAAAUGUGGCAUAUAUACAUAAUGGAAUACUAUUCAGCCUUUAAAACUAAGGGACUUCUAUCACUGGCAACAACAUGGAUGAAUGGUGAACAUUAUGCUGAGUGAAACAAGCCAGACACAGAAAGACAGAUACUGCAUGUUUUCCCUUAUAUGUGGAAUCUAAAACAAUCAAACACGUAGAAGCAGAGAGUAGAAUGGUAGUUAUAGAGGCUGGGGUAUGGGGGAAUGGAGAGAUGUUCAAAAGGUACAAAGUCUUAGUUAGAAAGGAGGAAUAAGUUUUUUUUUUGAGAUCUAUUGCACAGCAUGUUGAAUAUAAUUAAUAAUAAUGUAUUGUACAUUUCAAAAUUUCUAAGAGAGUAAACUGCAAAUGUUCUCUCCACAAAAAAUAAGUAUUGGAGAUAAUGUAUAUGUUAGCUUGAUUUAAGUAUUUCAUAUUGUAUUCAUAAAUUAUAACAUCAAUCUGUAAAUUGUAUCCCAUAAUAUAUUGUAUUAUAUUCAUACCCCACAAACAUAUUUAAAUUGUCAACUUUCAAUAAAAUAAUUUUUUUUUAAAUCUGUGUUGAAUGAAUGAAUGAAACACCUUCCACAGCAGCCACAGCUGUAGAAGAACUGACAAACAGAUUAACAUCACCAGCUUAUGAAUAUUUCUACUCAAGCUUUCAGAAAAAACAUCUGCCAGGCAUCAUGUCUCUGUCCAUCCAAUAAAGGAGACUUCAUUAUAAUCAACUUGCAAUCAUCUAUAUCAAUAUUUAGAAGCAGUGGACAGAGAAUCCCCCCGGUUAAUUCAAUUCAACAAGAAAUUAUUGAGAGAGUCUCAUAUUUGACACUCAAAUGAAGUAAAUUAAUGCAAAAUAAGUUAUCUAUGGUUUCUGAUUUCAAGAAAUUUGUGUUUAGCUUUAGAACAUGUCUUCAGAUUUCCACUUAGAGAUGAGUGCAACCUGAUGUUCAGAGAAUUUGA
rnacentral:lncRNA from 1 species